rnacentral:rRNA from 1 species
AUCGAACGCUGGCGGCAGGCCUAACACAUGCAAGUCGAGCGGUAGCACAGGAGAGCUUGCUCUCUGGGUGACGAGCGGCGGACGGGUGAGUAAUGUCUGGGAAACUGCCUGAUGGAGGGGGAUAACUACUGGAAACGGUAGCUAAUACCGCAUAACGUCGCAAGACCAAAGAGGGGGACCUUCGGGCCUCUUGCCAUCAGAUGUGCCCAGAUGGGAUUAGCUAGUAGGUGGGGUAACGGCUCACCUAGGCGACGAUCCCUAGCUGGUCUGAGAGGAUGACCAGCCGCACUGGAACUGAGAGACGGUCCAGACUCCUACGGGAGGCAGCAGUGGGGAAUAUUGCACAAUGGGCGCAAGCCUGAUGCAGCCAUGCCGCGUGUAUGAAGAAGGCCUUCGGGUUGUAAAGUACUUUCAGCGGGGAGGAAGGUGCUGAGGUUAAUAACCUCAGCAAUUGACGUUACCCGCAGAAGAAGCACCGGCUAACUCCGUGCCAGCCGCCGCCGUAAAAC